rnacentral:rRNA from 1 species
CAGUCGAGCGAUGGAUUAAGAGCUUGCUCUUAUGAAGUUAGCGGCGGACGGGUGAGUAACACGUGGGUAACCUGCCCAUAAGACUGGGAUAACUCCGGGAAACCGGGGCUAAUACCGGAUAACAUUUUGAACCGCAUGGUUCGAAAUUGAAAGGCGGCUUCGGCUGUCACUUAUGGAUGGACCCGCGUCGCAUUAGCUAGUUGGUGAGGUAACGGCUCACCAAGGCAACGAUGCGUAGCCGACCUGAGAGGGUGAUCGGCCACACUGGGACUGAGACACGGCCCAGACUCCUACGGGAGGCAGCAGUAGGGAAUCUUCCGCAAUGGACGAAAGUCUGACGGAGCAACGCCGCGUGAGUGAUGAAGGCUUUCGGGUCGUAAAACUCUGUUGUUAGGGAAGAACAAGUGCUAGUUGAAUAAGCUGGCACCUUGACGGUACCUAACCAGAAAGCCACGGCUAACUACGUG